AGGACGAACGCUGGCGGCGUGCCUAACACAUGCAAGUCGAGCGGAGUCGGUAAGAGGAAGUUUCGGAUGGAAUCUUAUUGAUUUAGCGGCGGACGGGUGAGUAACGCGUGAGCGACCAACCUUGCACAGGGGGAUAACGGACCGAAAGGUUCACUAAUACCGCAUGAGACCACGGUGUUGCAUGACACAGAGGUCAAAGGAGCAAUCCGGUGCAAGACGGGCUCGCGUCCGAUUAGGUAGUUGGAGGGUAACGGCCCACCAAGCCUAUGAUCGGUAGCCGACCUGAGAGGGUGAUCGGCCACAUUGGAACUGAGAUACGGUCCAAACUCCUACGGGAGGCAGCAGUGGGGAAUAUUGGGCAAUGGGGGGAAACCCUGACCCAGCAACGCCGCGUGAAGGAAGAAGGUUUUCGGAUUGUAAACUUCUGUCCUUGGUGAAGAGAAGAAGACGGUAGCCAAGGAGGAAGCCCCGGCUAACUACGUGCCAGCCGCCGC
rnacentral:rRNA from 1 species